ensembl:lncRNA novel transcript
ACGCAGGUACAAGGACAAAGAAUCGUCAAAUGAGAAUACCAAGAAGAGAUAGACAUCCAUGAUUUAUUGUUAGGAGGAAGAAGCAAGUUGCAGAACAUAUAAUACAGUAUGUUCAGGUUAAACAAGUGUGCAAAUUAAACCUUGUUCAACUUACAAGAAACAA